rnacentral:miRNA from 1 species
GCCUGCUAUGUAGUAGGUGCUCAGUAAAUGUUCAUUGGAUGAAUUAAUGAAGGCGUGCUCACAGGCAAGGAACUUGUGCUAGAAAAG